UACGUAGGGUGCAAGCGUUGUCCGGAAUUAUUGGGCGUAAAGAGCUUGUAGGCGGUUUGUCGCGUCUGCUGUGAAAUUUCGGGGCUCAACCCCGAACUUGCAGUGGGUACGGGCAGACUAGAGUGUGGUAGGGGAGACUGGAAUUCCUGGUGUAGCGGUGAAAUGCGCAGAUAUCAGGAGGAACACCGAUGGUGAAGGCAGGUCUCUGGGCCACUACUGACGCUGAGAAGCGAAAGCAUGGGGAGCGAACAGG
rnacentral:rRNA from 1 species